GGUCCUUACCUCUGGUUUGGCUUUCACAGUGAAGCCAAACCAGGACAGCUUGUUACACAGAGUCUGGAAAGCAGCCCUUCAUGUUGGGAUUCUGGAAUUGGGUCACUGCCGAGUCAGAUUUCAAUAAGGAAAACAUACUUGAAAAUCAUGCUGACCAACUAUAUUGAUGACAUUAGGCUAAUUUGACAUGGUAGACAAGAAAUUCCAAGUACUGUUCUUUGCAUUAUUGGUAACUGUGUCUGCUGUGCUUUGGAAUAAGGUCCAAGAUUUGAAAAUGACUUUGGAACUCUCUCAAGAAAUCCCUUAUCCAAGAAAUACGGAUAAAUAGCCAUGUGGAGAUGAUCAACAUCAGGAGUAUGGUUGUACAACCAGAGCUGAUGAAUAAACUUUUAGGUAUUCCUAGUUUUCUUUUUCAAUAAUAUAAAUACAUUUUAAACAA
rnacentral:lncRNA from 1 species